AGCGGCGGGCUUAACACAUGCAAGUCGAACGAGAAUGAGGGCUUCGGCUCUCUAGUAAAGUGGCGGACGGGUGCGUAACACGUGGGUAAUGUACCUUCCAGCGGGGGACAACCGUCCGAAAGGAUGGCUAAUACCGCGUACGUCGGCGAGGGCUCCGGUCCUUGUCGGGAAAGAUGGCCUCUCCUUGGAAGCUAUCACUGGAAGAUCAACCCGCGGCCCAUCAGCUAAUUGGUGAGGUAACGGCUCACCAAGGCUAAGACGGGUAGCUGGUCUGAGAGGAUGAUCAGCCACACUGGGACUGCGACACGGCCCAGACUCCUACGGGAGGCAGCAGUGGGGAAUAUUGGGCAAUGGGCGAAAGCCUGACCCAGCCACGCCGCGUGAGUGAUGAAGGCCUUCGGGUCGUAAAGCUCUGUGGGGAGGGACGAACAAGCUGGGCGCUAAUCACCCCGGUCCUGACGGUACCUCCUUAGCAAGCACCGGCUAACCCUGUGCCAGCAGCCGCGGUAAUACAGGGGGUGCAAACGUUGCUCGGAAUUAUUGGGCGUAAAGCGCGCGUAGGCGGCUACUUAAGUCGGAUGUGAAAGCCCCUGGCUCAACUGGGGAAGUGCACCCGAAACUGAGUGGCUUGAGUGCGAAAGAGGGUCGCGGAAUUCCCGGUGUAGAGGUGAAAUUCGUAGAUAUCGGGAGGAACACCGGUGGCGAAGGCGGCGACCUGGGUCGACACUGACGCUGAGGCGCGAAAGCGUGGGGAGCAAACAGGAUUAGAUACCCUGGUAGUCCACGCCGUAAACGAUGGGUGCUAGAUGUUUCUGGUAUUGACCCCGGAGGCGUCGUAGCUAACGCGUUAAGCACCCCGCCUGGGAAGUACGGCCGCAGGGCUAAAACUCAAAUGAAUUGACGG
rnacentral:rRNA from 1 species